CCCUUAGAUGUUCUGGGCGGCCCGCGCACUACAUUGGCACUAGCAAAGAGAUCCUAGAUUGAAUUCUUUGGGGUAUUCUUCUAAAUGGUGUCGUGACUGGGAUAAAUCCUUGUAAUUAUUGGUUUUGAACGAGGAAUUCCUUGUAAUCGCGGUUUAUCAGCUCGCGUUGAAUGCGUCCCUGCCCUUUGUACACACCGCCCGUCGCUCCUACCGAUGGAUCGUCCGGUGAAGCUCACGGAGUGACUGUUCACGCAACGGUUUACGAAGUGAAAUGGACCUCACGAUUGAGAGGAAGGAGAAGUCGUAACA
rnacentral:rRNA from 1 species